UGGCGGUUCUUUAUCCAAUCAGAGGGGUGUGUGGUUAAACGAAGUUACACGAAAAUCUUACCUAAGUUUUUAGUAAUUUUACUUCAACAAAAAUGUUAUAAAUUAUAAAUUUUGUACACCUCCGUCGGAAGGGUACUUUGAAAGAACUAUCCUAAUUCUAUGAAAUUAUAGAAUUAAGUCAGGUCAAGGUGCAGAUUAUGUUUAGGUCUCUAUGCAUUUCAGUAAAAAUUGAAAUAAGAAAUUUUGAAAAGAUUCUUGUAAAGAAUUUGAAAGUAAGAAAUAAAUUUUUAUUAUAGAUUCCUGAAGAAGGAUAUGAAGAAUGUACACAUCGCCCG
rnacentral:rRNA from 1 species